rnacentral:rRNA from 1 species
UUAGUGGCGGACGGGUGAGUAACGCGUGGGUAACCUGCCUCACACUGGGGGAUAACAGUUAGAAAUAGCUGCUAAUACCGCAUAAGCGCACAGUUCCGCAUGGAACAGUGUGAAAAACUCCGGUGGUGUGAGAUGGACCCGCGUCUGAUUAGCCAGUUGGCGGGGUAACGGCCCACCAAAGCGACGAUCAGUAGCCGGCCUGAGAGGGUGAACGGCCACAUUGGGACUGAGACACGGCCCAAACUCCUACGGGAGGCAGCAUG